rnacentral:rRNA from 1 species
GUUGAACGCUGGCGGCAUGCCUAACACAUGCAAGUCGAGCGAGCGGCGGACGGGUGAGUAAUGUAUGGGGACUGCCCGUUAGAGGGGGAUCACUACUGGAGACGGUAGCUAAUGCCGCAUACUAUCAGAUAACGCAUAUUGGAUUAGCUGGUAGGUGAGGUAAUGGUUCACCUAGGCGACGAUCCCUAGCUGGUCUGAGAGGAUGAUCAGCCACAUUGGGACUGAGACACGGCCCAGACUCCUACGGAGGCAGCAGUGGGGAAUCUUGCACAAUGGGCGAAAGCCUGAGGCAGCCAUGCCGCGUGUAUGAAGAAGGUCCUAGGGUUGUAAAGUACUUUUAUUCGUGAGGCGUUAACGACAGAAGAAGCACCGGCUAACUCCGUGCCAGCAGCCGCGGUAAUAC